GAACCGCUCUCCUGUGUGUUGUGGUCACAACCACACGGAGCUGGGCAGUUUGAUCUGCCUAGUGCUGUCAUCACAGGUGACAUGAAGCCUGGUCAGAGCUGGAGAACCACAGAGGAAGAACUCGGAGUUCAGCUCACAAAGAGAGGAAACAGGAAGACGCUGAGUGUGUUAGAGAGAGGAAACAUCUGAUUAUCUGACGUCAGCUCAUUAAAACACAUUCACUGUGUCACCAUGAUAAUGCAGGGAGGAGUGUCAGCUGUUAUUAAAGUCAGUGUUUGUAGUCCAUCAGUGAGGAAGAGGAGGGUGAAGGAGGAAGGAGAGAGCACAGCUUCCUUUGACCGAGAAGGGUCUGGCUGGAGCCACUGUGGAGCACCAUAUUGUGACCUCCACAGUAACCGGAUACACGUGACCUCCACAGUAGCUGGAAACACGUAACCUGCAUGAAUACAGUGGAAACCUUGCAAGUGGAUCGUAAAGAUGCACAUAUCAAUUUGGAAUUCUGCCUCAAAGCCAGAAUUGCACCACGUGUUGCAGAAGACUCUUUCACUGCCCUCUGUGCCCCACUUUCAGCCCUACUGUCAGGUCAAAGAUUGAGGAGCAUAUAAAUGGACACAUUAAAAAAGCUUUGCCUUUCAAAGGGUGAGCCAUUUAUAUGGAUACACCGUAAUAACAUGGGAAUGGUUGGUGAUAUUAAAGUCCUGUUUGUGGCACAUUAGUAUAUGUGAGGGGGCAAACUCCUCAAGAUGGGUGGUGACCAUGGUGGCCAUUUAGAAGUCGGCCAUCUUGGAUACAACUUUUGUUUUUUCAAUAGGAAGAGG
ensembl:lncRNA